GCCGCGCCCGCCUUAUCUAAACUGCGCAGACGCCUGCACCUCACAGCGACGCCCGCUGCCGCGACGGCCUGGGGUCUGGGUCCUGGCCUGCGCCUUGACGGCUGGGACGGCGCUGUGCCGGGGGGACGGCCCAGGCUGCAGCGUACAGCGCUUCCUGUGUUGACUGAUCUAGCCUGGUGACAGCAGCAAGAGGUGCCUGUUGCACAGUGAGGAAACAGGAGGCCCAGGAGCCCCACACUCAUCUCUACUGCCUGGCAUAGGACUGCCAAGGGCAGGGCUUGGGCAGGGCUGCGGCUGGAACCCGGGACCUGGGGCUGCUCUCCUAGCGUUGGCCACUGAGCUGCCCUACCAGCGCUCAUGCAUUAAGCUGAAAACAUGGUCCUUUCACUGCUCAAGAGUGUCUUCCAUAAGUCCAGCUGGAGACCUAGAGCCCACAACAAUGACUCAUGCAAGUGUGUAUCAAGGAUCUGCACUGGGAAGGCCCAAGGUCAGUGAAACCUAGAAAGUCUGCAGCAGCGGAAUGAAGAAUCUGUGCCAGCAGGUGGAGCCAGGAAGUGACACUCAAGGGCUCUCAUUCCACAUGGAUUUGGGACAGCAGCAGGCAGACUGAGGAGUUGAUGAUCCUGGCAUCUACGGUGAGAAAGGCCCCAGCCUGGUCUGCUCACUACACCAAAUUACUGCUCUGAAUGUUGCUUUGGGACAGAGACCACUUUCCUUCCUUGAGGGCCAUGUGUGGGCUCUCCUCUCCCCUGAAACACAUUUUGGAUGUAAGAUUUUAAACGGUCAGGUUAGUUUUCCACAAGGGAUCUGCACAGUGAAAGAAUGUGAACCUAGAUGCCACUGAGGCUUCUGGCAGACAAGGACUGUCCCUCAAUUGUCUUCUGUCCUUGAGUCCUGCAGUCUGUGUAAACCAGAACCAAUCUGGGUCUCUCCUUAGGACUUCUGAUUAUGCUGGAAACCACAAGUCCAGACUGGCUUGCACUAGAUUUCGGAGGGAAGAGCAAAAGGCCACGAUUCCUUCUGGUUCUCUUGGAUCCUCUUCUCCACACCGCUCUGAGACUCCUUGCUCCAUUCUCACAGCUUCCCAGCCCAUUGUUCCCCAGGCCCACGGGUGGCUGUCUCUGCAGAAGUUCCCCCUGAUCCUGCUCUUUCUAGAGUCAACCCUGCAGGAUCCUGAGGGACUAGGUCUCCAUUGCGCUGAUCACCGACACUGUUUCUUCACCAGUUUCUGUAUCUUGCAUGCCAUGUGUUGAACUUGCAAUGGAAGUUCUGUUGGUAAACUCAUAACAUCCAACAUGGUCCAUCAAUUUCCUGCUCCUCUCCCCAGCCCACAUGUCAGAAACUUGGGGAAGGGCAAAGUAAUAAAUGCUUCUCCCUCUUCGACAAGGGCAAGGAUGAGUGAGAAGGAUCAGGAAGAUGAUACUUCCAGAAACCUGGCCCUAUAACCCUGUAACCAGCACUCUACGCUCAGUCACCUUAGUGAGGCGAGGCUUCCAUAGCUCAUACCCCUCUGGCUUGCCUUUGCAUAUCUCCAGCUGCUCUGAGGUCUCAUGCAUCUCUAUCAUGUUCCUUUUGUAGCUGUAGCUCCAAUGCAUCCAGCCUGCAGUGAAAAACGUCAAGACCCCAAAAUGCAGUGGAUCAGUGUAUCCUGCUCUUGCUGUGGUCCCAUCAGUGCCAUAUGGUAUGGUCUGACUGUCACCAAAUCAGGUCUGAAGGUCUGGUUUCCAACCUGCUGGAGCCCAGUGGGAGUAAUGGAUGUCCCUGGGGUGUCCUGGAAGGGAAUUUAGGACCCUUCCUCUCCUUUUGCUUCCAUUUGCAGGGAACUGGGCUUCUCCAGCAAGUGCUCUGCCAUGAUGCUGUCACAGCUUCAAGGCUGGAGGCCCAGUUCCCAUGGGCUACCUCUGAAACCAUGACCAGAGUGAACUUCUCUUCUUAUAAAUGGGUUACCUUGGGUGUUUCAUCACUGUAUCAGGAAGCUAACAUUUAGUUGUUUAGAAAUAUGUUUGGUAAAAAGGAAAUGACUCAAGUUCCUGUCAGCCUAUAAGCAGUGCCAAGCCUCUUUCCUGCCUUUCUGCCUUCAGCCCAGGAAAGCAAAGAUGCCCUGAAGAGUCAGGCCUUCAGAAUGACCACAUCUUAUGCUCAUGUGCCAGCCAGCUCCUCAAAGCCCAAGCUCAUGGUGGCUUCUCUGACAGGCUGGGAACCUGGCCCUGGCCCCAUGCCUGGUGUGCUUCUGCAGGUGCAGGCCUGGGUCAGGAACAGUUGGCAGUGGGGGGGACUUUCCUGUAUCACCAGGCCCUGUCUCUCGUGAGGACAGUGCUGUGCUCCCAUAUAUGUUCUGGCACAGGGGAGCAAAACAGAGUGUGUGACCCACUUGGGGUGACAGUGGAAUGCAGAAGAUGGCCCAGCAAGCUUUAGAAGUAGGCCCAUUCUAAGGUCCAAAUCAGUCAAGGAGACUGUCAUGGUGUAAAUCUGAAGCAUGCCCAAGACUCAUGCACAGAGGACUUGAUCCCUGGUGCAGCUAUGUGCAGAGCCGAUCACAUCCAGGGGUGCUUGUUCAAAAGAAAGCAAUAAACAAGGGGCUGUUAGCCCUGAAGAGCUCUAGGGACCAGCAACCUAUAAAGACCAGCAGCACAAGCCAACACUGGCUGGUGGCAGCCAGCAGCAGUGUAGCUGCUAUUAUCUGAUGACAACAGGAUUACUAGCAGAAUUUUUUUUUUUUUUGAGACAGAGUCUUGCUAUGUAAUUCAGACUGACCUUGAACUCACUAUGUAUCUCAGGCAGGCCUUGAACUCAUGGUAAUCCUCCUGCCUCAGCCUCCUGAGUGCUGGGAUUACAGGUGCGUGACACCACAGUAGAGCUGCAUUUUACUUCAUGAGUUCCAUCUAAAUAGAGGAAAAGAACCUGAGGCAAUACCAUAUUCAUUUGGUAAAUGAAGAACAAUUAGUAAAAUGAAUAUACCUCUCCUUGAAUUAAGUGUUUCAUCUUUUUAUUUCAAAAGCAAGGACACCAAGAAGCACAAUGAAGCAGUUAAAACCAGGAAAGCUGCCAAGUGGAAAAGUAGAAAAAAGGAUUGGAUUUCAGUGGAAGUUGUUUAAUGCAAAUGCAGGGUUCGUUGGCUGCAUACCUAGAUCAUACUGAGUCCAUCAGUGACAGGACUCAGCUUGAUAAGAUCUGACCAGAGGCCUGGACCAGUCAGGCACAUGUGGCUCAUGCAGAGCUGAUGGAAGGGGCUGCAUUGGGAGCAGGUGCAACUGGUUAGGCAAAUCUUCCUUGGCUGGUUCCCAAGGGUGCCCUUCUAUUCAUCUGUACUUGAAAUAUGAUUUGAAGCUUCAGGACCAGCUGGUCCUACUCUGCUAACUAUCUUGGCUCCACAUUCAGCCCUCUUCCACUUGCCUUAUAAGCAGAUGUCAGCUUCAAUGGUGCUUCCUGUCAGUGAGCUCCUGCUUUAUCUACAGUAUGUUGACUUAACAAAGAUUUUUUUUUAAAUGUCUUUUUGAGACAGGGUCUUGCUGUGCAGUUCAGGCUGGGAUUACAGGCAUGAGCCACCACGCCCAGCUAAUUUAACAAAGAUUUUUGACCAUUUCCUUUCUCCAGAAUUCAGCAAGGGCUAUAAUUCACAAAUUCCACAAGAUAAGCUAUAUGAGAUUCCAUGUACUUAUUUCUAAUUAUCAAUAAACAGUUUCAUGCACAUUCUA